rnacentral:rRNA from 1 species
AGUGAACGCUGGCGGUAGGCCUAACACAUGCAAGUCGAACGGCAGCACAGUAAGAGCUUGCUCUUACGGGUGGCGAGUGGCGGACGGGUGAGGAAUACAUCGGAAUCUACUUUUUCGUGGGGGAUAACGUAGGGAAACUUACGCUAAUACCGCAUACGACCUACGGGUGAAAGCAGGGGAUCUUCGGACCUUGCGCGAUUGAAUGAGCCGAUGUCGGAUUAGCUAGUUGGCGGGGUAAAGGCCCACCAAGGCGACGAUCCGUAGCUGGUCUGAGAGGAUGAUCAGCCACACUGGAACUGAGACACGUUCCAAACUCCUACGGGAGGCAGCAGUGGGGAAUAUUGGACAAUGGGCGCAAGCCUGAUCCAGCCAUGCCGCGUGGGUGAAGAAGGCCUUCGGGUUGUAAAGCCCUUUUGUUGGGAAAGAAAAGCAGCAGGUUAAUACCCCGCUGUUCUGACGGUACCCAAAGAAUAAGCACCGGCUAACUUCGUG